GACGUAGGGCGCGAGCGUUGUCCGGAUUUAUUGGGCGUAAAGAGCUCGUAGGCGGCUUGUCGCGUCGUCCGUGAAAACCUGCAGCUCAACUGCAGGCUUGCGGUCGAUACGGGCAGGCUAGAGUUCGGUAGGGGAGACUGGAAUUCCUGGUGUAGCGGUGAAAUGCGUAGAUAUCUGGAGGAACACCGGUGGCGAAGGCGGCAUCCUGGACCGGCAUUGACGCUGAGGCGCGAAAGCCAGGGGAGCAAGCGGG
rnacentral:rRNA from 1 species